CCCCAUGCGUUGUCCACGCGCCUGAAUCUGUCAUAUAAUUGGUUAGAUACCCUCAGACACGGGCCUCAAGCCAGCCAGCAAUUGGCCACUGCACAAAGCUCAUCUUUAACACUGCAGCCAAGUUAAUUUAUCUCGACCUUGCUCAAGUUCUUGUUUCUACCGCUUAUUUCCUCAUUAUCUCUAAUUCAGGGAUGUGUGAAACAGCACAAAGCCACCUGUGAAUUCCUUUCCCACAAGAAGGAUAAACAGCA